UAUUGGGUUGGCCAGAAAGUUUGUUCAAGUUUUUCUGGUACAUCUUAUAGAAAACCCAAAUGAACUUUUUGGCCAACCCAAUAAA
ensembl:miRNA